UCAGGAUGAACGCUAGCGGCAGGCUUAACACAUGCAAGUCGAGGGGCAUCGGGAGUAGCAAGUACCUUGCCGGCGACCGGCGCAAGGGUGCGUAACGCGUGAGCAACAUGCCCGUAUCAGGGGGAUAAUCCAUGGAAACGUGGUCUAAUACCCCAUAGUAAUUAUGUAAGGCAUCUUAUAUAAUUUAAAGCUUUGGUGGAUACGGAUUGGCUCGCGUGACAUUAGCUAGAUGGUAAGGUAACGGCUUACCAUGGCUACGAUGUCUAGGGGUUCUGAGAGGAAGGUCCCCCACACUGGAACUGAGACACGGUCCAGACUCCUACGGGAGGCAGCAGUGAGGAAUAUUGGACAAUGGAUGGAAAUCUGAUCCAGCCAUGCCGCGUGCCAGGAAGACGGCCCUAUGGGUUGUAAACUGCUUUUGUAUGGGAGCAAUAAGGGCUACGCGUAGUCCGAUGAGAGUACCAUACGAAUAAGCACCGGCUAACUCCGUGCCAGCCGCCGC
rnacentral:rRNA from 1 species